GAGAGUUCUGUAGGUCAGAAGCCUGGGUUAGCUCAACUAGUUCCUCUGCUUUGGGUUUUACAGUGCUGAAAUCAAGACGUCAACCAGCUGGUCUUUUUUCGGGAGGAUCUGAGAAAAAUCUGCUUUCAAGUCCAUUUAGAUUCUUUGUCUUUUUCUAUGGACCAAUUGUCAUCUUUCCUAACAGAAGACUACGCAUCCCUGUGAUACCUCUCAGAUGACAACAAAGUUCUGCAUUCAUAAAGCUUUAUCUAGACAAAUUCACAAAGACAGCAACAAUAAUGAUGCUGCCGUGGAAAAGGCCAAAGGUAAAGAAGAGACAAUUUUCCCUCCAAAGGCAGCCGCUUUCUGACUUCUGUAACCGUCUGUCAGUUCAUCCCUUUGAUUGCCUGGCAUCAUUUGCUCCGUGUAGUGUCUGCAAGAUUCCUCCAUUCUGCUGUGUAUUUCAGUGAUGGAUUCCCUUAUUGCUGGGAGAUUAGGAUACACAAAAAGAGACACGAGCAAUAUGCGUGUGCUCAAAGGGGUGACCACGUGAAGAGGAAGCAAGAAAGGGCCAUGGACAACCCAAAGAAAGAGGCCUCAGAGGAGUACAGUCCUGCCACCUUGAUCUCAGACUUCCAGCCUCCAGAACUAUGAGAAAUACAUUUCUGUUGUUAAAGCCAUCCUGCGUAUUCUAUUUUGUUAUGGCAUCUCUGUUCCCCCACCCCCAAAAUUCCUGUGUUGAAUCCUUAACCACCCCUGUGACUAGAUUUAGAGAUAGGGUCUUUAAGGCAGUCAUUAAGGUUAAAUGAGGCCAUAAUGGGGCAGACCUAAUCCAAUAUGACUGAUGAUACUGGUCACAGAGAAAGGCCCUGUGAGGACACUCUCUGCAAGCCAAGGAGAGAGAACUCAGGAGAAACCAAAUUUGCUCACCCCUUGAUCUUGGACUUCCAGGCACUAGAAUGGUGAGAAAUAAAUUUCUGUUGUUUAAGUGACCCAGUCUGUGAUAUUUUGUUAUGGCAGUCCUAGGACAGUAAUGCAGCAGCCCUGGCAAACUAAUACAGAGUGCUAGCUAGAAGCAAAUAUUCUAGAUAUAGGGAACAUGCGGCCUGAGAACAGCUUCUGGGAAAAUCUGAUUUCUUAGAUUCAGGUUCUGAUUUCAGUCUUUUUUGAUCCCCACACCAUCGUCUCUAAGACUGGCUGGGAUGCCUAAACUGCUUUUCUCAUUGUAAAAAGCAAUGGUCACUAACCUGUCACAUUCUACUUCUGCCCACCUAUUUCUGUCCUCCUCUUGGCCUCUGUCUCACCCAAAACAAACAAUUAAACCCAGAUACUCUGAAAAUUUGUCUCUAGAAGUUCAGUUUUCACGAGAAUAUUCUCCAUCAAAUUCCUGACUAUUGGUUAACCUACGCCAAAAAAAAAAAAAAAAAAUUAGAAGAGGUGAGAGAAUCUCUAUUGAUAUUUCCUCCCAUUUUUGUUCUUUAUCCAUGAAGAAUGAAGGAAUAAGGAGAUAACAGAAUUUCUGACAACUUCAGCCUCUUGGUUCCACAAAGAAAAAUAAAAGUAACUCUUUCCUGCCUCAGCCUUCCUGGUGUGGGAGAUGCUAAUGACAGUGCGGUGGAAAAAACAAGAGCAGCAAAAGCAAUGUCAGUGUGAAUUCUGUUCUUGUCAAGUGAAAUAAUAAUAAUUACCAUUUUCCUGAUCAUUAUAAAUGUCUAGUGAAAAAAACAACUAGAAUAACCCAAGAUUUUUCCCCUGAUGGGUUCAUUAUGCUCAGUGGUUUAAUAUAUGUCAUUUUUUUAAAAAGCCUAAAGUUAAAGAUUUAAUUUAAAUCUUAACUAGCAAAUAAUAUGUAUAGAUAUAAUUGCAUAUGUAUAUAAUAUAUACAUAAAUACAUAUGUAUAAUAUAAUAUAUACAUAAAACACCAUAUUUGGGGAAAAUAGAGUAUGCCAAGAUAUCUUAAGACAGUCUGCAUACAAAGGUGGUCUUGAAAAACUAAUUUUGA
rnacentral:lncRNA from 1 species